CUUUUCGGGGCCGGCCUCGUGGCUGGAAGACAUGGCGGCCUCAUGCUGGUCCGAGAUAGGCCAGCAACCUCGGACCUUUGGCGGCGGCCUUUGUUUGGCAUCUGCAGAGACGGUGAGAAGCCGACGUGCACGUUGAAGCUUAAAAACUAGCGAAUGGAACCCUGCAAUGAGUAAGAAUGGAUGCAGGCAAGACCUGGGUGGGCACCAGAAGUGGGAAAGGCUAAAGAUGUUGGCUGUGGACUUGGAAAAAAGUCACAUGAAAACCAUCAUCCAGAGAUACUGAGUGUGAGGAUCUUCGUGAUGAAAUUUCUCUAAAAGGUACAGUCUCAGCCUCAGUUUGAGGCCGAAAAGGAUGCUCCAGAACAAGACGCUAACUAGCAGCAGUGCCGUUUCAGCUGCCCUGGACCCGAGGCAGAAUUUCUCUCGUGUGUCUGCAGUGAGUGAGACAGAAUUGAACUGCUUUGCCUGAAGCACGUGAAAUGAUGAUUCUUCUCCUGUUGUUUGUAAGCUUUCUCUUUCCAUCUUACAUGUCCCAAAGAAGCCCCACAAGCCUAUGAUGGUUAGUUAUCCCUGUCUGAAAAUCUCAACUGAGGGAAAACAAUCUGUUCUGAGGCUUAAGGGGCUGGCCCUGUGCUCUUAAAAGAAGUUCAGGCUCUAUAAGGGAUCGAAUUGAAUGGACUCCAAAGGGAAUUGUGCAUACCCUGCCAAGACCCCAGUCCUAAUGCAUCACCCCUCUGCAGCUUGAAAACCAGUGGUGUGGCUGCCCUGUCACACUUUAGGCCCCUUGAUUAAUGGCUCUGAGGGCACAGGCUAUAAGAGGUGGCAGAAAUGGGCAAGUGGCCCAGAUUUGGUUUAUACUCUUACUGUGGAAUGAAAGAGUGCUUGUCACAUAUUUCAAGAAAAUGAAUGCGCUGUUUGAAACAGACGGGAAUGGCAGAUGUAUGCCAGCUGUGGCAGUGAGAACACUUCAGGACUGUCUGUCCUCUUGCCCUUGCACCGUAUCCUGACAUUCAGGAAAGACGGUGUACAGUGGCACUAGCAGAGCGAUUUGGUUUCCAGGUGCUUUGUUAACACCAGGGAGCUCUCCUGGCAUUAGCUCAGCUCUGUCUGAAUGGCAUGGCUGGCAUGUGAGCAAGAGAGUAGCAAAGUGGUGCUGGGCUUUGUUCCCAUUUAAAUGCCAGGCUUGAACCGGACACAGAUUGCCUUUCUUUUCUGUUGAAGCUGGGAGGUGUGUGCAGCUCUUUAUACGUAAGGUCACAUAUUUGUUCGGUCACCAAGGAAGCUAUAUUUGGAGUGAGAUUUAAAGAGCCUGAAAACCGGUCCAAGCAGCUUAUAGCUGGAAGUAAAACAAAGCGAAAGGACGUGUUAGCAAGUGGGAAAGUCUACCUGCUGGGUGUAGUCUGCUUCUGAGUGGACUUGACUGCUCUGUGGGACCCAAGUGAACCUGUAGGUUUGUUUCUGUUUUUGUUUUUUUUAAGCUGUGCCGCACAACUUGUGGGAUCUUAGUUCCUCAACCAGGGCUUGAACCCUGGCCCUUGGCAGUGAGAGUGAUGAGUCCUAACCACUGGACCGCCAGGGAAUUCCCGAACCUGUAGGUUUGACUCCAGAGGGGGUUGAAUAUAAAUGUCGCCAGCACUUCAUGGCUGCUCUUCACUGGUACUGGCCACUUGCCAGAUUCUGCUCCCUCAGAUCCCAGUCUCCCGAAAAGGAGAGUCAUCUGGGACCUACCAGGCUGCACUGAAUUGAUCUGGUUGUGCCUUCCACACACACACACAUGCACACACACACGCAUAAUGAUUGACUGCUUAGAAUGAGUUCCUCUAGGAUUACCAAUUUUUAAAUUAGUUUUUUCUUUAAAUUUAACCUUCAGUUUUGAGUCUCUUAGUUUGCUGCAUCAAAUGAUUCUUUGGUUUUAUAGGUUGCCUCCCAGUGAUGCCAGAUGGGAUCAGUACAGCCCCAAGUGCUAGUUGCUAAUGCCUAUAAAAUACCACCCUCCCCCACCAAAGGAGAAUCAUUUAAGAGUUCUUUGGAUUUCGUCUUCAAAAGUAGCCAAAGAAUUCAAGUGACAGGGUAUCCCAGAAAAUUGUUUGCAGUUAGUGAAAUUAGGGUAUAAAUAAGAACAUUCAGAAUACUACACACACAGUUUAGGUGAUCUUGCUAUAGUGGUGGGACAGCAGUGAUUAUAAAAUUAAGUAAUUAACGUGCAUGCUCUGUUGGGGGAGACUGAAGGGAAAGAGGUGUUCAGCCUAGAAAAACAUUUCUCAGUGGAUUUCCUAUGAAGUCAAUGUGUCUUGGGUUUAACUUUGAAACAAAUUAAAAAAUUUAAAAACUGACUUACUAGCAUUUGUGGAUUUCAGAUUGAGACCCAUGUAAAAGCAAUGUUUUAUUCUGUGACUCAGCGUAUUCUUUUAUAAGUGAAAGUUUCAGAGAAGAAUAGUUGCGGGUAACAGGAUGCAAUCAGAUGUUUUGGUGUUUUUAAGUUUCCCACUAAAUUGAUCUUAUACCCCUCUAACCGGUUGACAGGUUUUGGUAACUACAGAUGUGAUGGGAAUUGGGAAAAAUAAAGUAUGGAUAAAAAUGGGUCCAGGCAUCGGGAAGCUAUGGUUUCUCAAGUAGCUGCUUUAGUCAUUAAAGCCUAAAUGUCCAUUCACUUAA